rnacentral:rRNA from 1 species
GACGAACGCUGGCGGCGUGCUUAACACAUGCAAGUCGAACGGAAAGGCCCUGCUUUUGUGGGGUGCUCGAGUGGCGAACGGGUGAGUAACACGUGAGUAACCUGCCCUUGACUUUGGGAUAACUUCGGGAAACUGGGGCUAAUACCGGAUAGGAGCUCCUGCUGCAUGGUGGGGGUUGGAAAGUUUCGGCGGUUGGGGAUGGACUCGCGGCUUAUCAGCUUGUUGGUGGGGUAGUGGCUGACCAAGGCUUUGACGGGUAGCCGGCCUGAGAGGGUGACCGGCCACAUUGGGACUGAGAUACGGCCCAGACUCCUACGGGAGGCAGCAGUGGGGAAUAUUGCACAAUGGGCGGAAGCCUGAUGCAGCAACGCCGCGUGCGGGAUGACGGCCUUCGGGUUGUAAACCGCUUUCGCCUGUGACGAAGCGUGAGUGACGGUAAUGGGUAAAGAAGCACCGGCUAACUACGUG